rnacentral:tRNA from 1 species
GGAGAGAUGGCAGAGUGGUCGAUUGCGGCGGUCUUGAAAACCGCUGAACCGCGAGGUUCCGGGGGUUCGAAUCCCUCUCUCUCCGCCA